CCAAUAGCGUAUAUUAAAGUUGUUGCAGUUAAAAAGCUCGUAGUUGAAUUUCGGGACCAAUCUGCCGGUCGUGCCUCCGGUACGCACUGGUUUUAUUGGUUUCUCCCUUCUGACGAACCAUGAUGUCAUUAAUUUGGUGUCAUGGGGAAUCAGGACUGUUACUUUGAAAAAAUUAGAGUGUUUAUAGCAGGCUCACGCUUGAAUACAUUAGCAGGGAAUAAUGAAAUAGGACGUUUGACCCUAUUUUGUUGGUUUCUAGGAUCGACGUAAUGAUUAAUAGGGAUAGUUGGGGGCAUUAGUAUUCAAUUGUCAGAGGUGAAAUUCUUGGAUUUAUUGAAGACUAACUACUGCGAAAGCAUUUGCCAAGGAUGUUUUCAUUAAUCAAGAACGAAAGUUAGGGGAUCGAAGACGAUCAGAUACCGUCGUAGUCUUAACCAUAAACUAUGCCGACUAGGGAUCGGAUGAUGUUAAUUUUUUAAUGACUCAUUCGGCGCCUUACG
rnacentral:misc_RNA from 1 species